rnacentral:rRNA from 1 species
UACGGAGGGGACUAGCGUUGUUCGGAAUUACUGGGCGUAAAGGGCGCGUAGGCGGCCUGUCAAGUCAACUGUGAAAUCUCCGGGCUUAACUCGGAACGGUCAGUUGAUACUGUCAGGCUAGAGUGCAGAAGGGGCAAUCGGAAUUCUUGGUGUAGCGGUGAAAUGCGUAGAUAUCAAGAGGAACACCUGAGGUGAAGACGGGUUGCUGGGCUGACACUGACGCUGAGGCGCGAAAGCCAGGGGAGCAAACGGG